UCCCUGGUGGUCUAGUGGCUAGGAUUCGGCGCUUUCACCGCUGCGGCCCGGGUUCGAUUCCCGGUCAGGGAA
rfam:Macaca mulatta chromosome 1, whole genome shotgun sequence.